rnacentral:rRNA from 1 species
UACGGAGGGGGCUAGCGUUGUUCGGAAUUACUGGGCGUAAAGCGCACGUAGGCGGCUUUGUAAGUUAGAGGUGAAAGCCCGGGGCUCAACUCCGGAACUGCCUUUAAGACUGCAUCGCUAGAAUUGUGGAGAGGUAAGUGGAAUUCCGAGUGUAGAGGUGAAAUUCGUAGAUAUUCGGAAGAACACCAGUGGCGAAGGCGGCUCACUGGCCCGGUACUGACGCUGAGGCGCGAAAGCGUGGGGAGCGAACAGG